rnacentral:lncRNA from 1 species
UUUGUCUCGCUUAGAAACAAACACAACAACAUACCUGCCUGCCUUAAAGUACUUCUCUGGGAAUGAAUGGCCUGCCUCUGACUUCUGAGCUCCCUGUUCACUAUAGCUCUAAGUGGAUGAGGGGCUUCUGCUGGAAGGGAGAGCAGCCCCUCGGACCCGGACCUGUGUCCUGCUGGGGUGGUGUGCGGAGAAAUCAGGCCGGGGCAGUAGGCAAGCUGGAGUUGCCACUGCGGGCCACCCCAGCCCAGGCUCGGGGAUGAACAGGACCACAGGCAGGAGGUGGGAGGGAUGGCAACAGGCACUCUUCCGAGAUGGCAAAGUUAAAGGGACAGAAUGGUAAGGGAAACGAAGUGUAACAGUCAACAGCACUCUUUUCUCUACCUUUCCGUUAACGGCUGCUGACGUAAGGUUGUUUCCUAAAUCUUCACGUCCCAGUUCAAAUACUCCGUGAAGUCAUCCAUCUUCCCACAAAGGUGGGGCUCCAACCCCUAAAAAGGGAUUCAACUCCAUGCCACAAACAGCCAGGGAAGAAGGAAUGGCACUGCCCCCCAAGUAGCUGAUGGCUCCGGGAAACAGGCAGACAGAUAAAGUGUAUGAUGCUGCAGAAGCAGGUGACCCAAAUGUGAGCGGGGCCCAGCAAAUGCUGUGGAACGCAGAGGAGAAGCUGGCAGGGGGGCAGUCUGCAGGGCAGUGGGGGCACAGGCAGGGCGUGGGCUGUGGUGAAGGGUAGCUGGGCACCAUCGGAGGCCCACACAGGCCUGAGGCUGGGAAGGGAGCUGUUGGCACAGUGUGGAGGGGCCGGCAGCCUCCCCGUCCCCCGGGAACCCCCUCGGAGAAGACUGUCAUCGGUGCUUCCUGUGGGGAGGUGACUGGCUCUAGUGUGGGGGGCUGGCUGGGGGUGGUCAGGGGACGACUAGGGUGAGAGCAAGUAGAAGGGAAUGGCCAGAGCAGAGAACACUGAAGACAGAAUUCACGAGACGGGCUCACAUGAAGGAGGCACAAAGAUGUGUCUGCCAAGCAAGAGGUCAAGGGUAGGUAGCUGGAAUCCAGGGUACCACAGAUUAGGGUGGUGGGCAGGGGUGGAAACAGGGCAGGAGCUGCAUCUUGAUGCAGGGCUGUGUCUUCCUGUUUCUGGGCCCCCAGGAGCAGGCACUGGCCUCUUCCCAGGGCCCUGCACACCUCAGCACCGAUGUGCAGGUCAGGUAAGGGCUAAGGGAGAAGCUGCCAUCCAGCCCGGACAAGCGACGCAGCAUCACCCUGACUCCAAAGGCUGACAUUUCGCCACCGCAGGUGGAAGGACAGCUGGGAAGUCCAGCAGGGCCGUGCUCUGGUCAGCUUCAGCAAGAAGAGCUGCCGUGCUGUUCUGCCUUGGAGAAAGCAGGGAGGAUGAGGGGAACAGGGUCUGUCUGCAGGAAGUAUCAAGCACUUUCCCAGCCUUAUUUUUAGAUUAAUGUGCUGAUGCUAUUACUAGCACUGGAUUCCCAGCAGGAAGGGGCUAGGGAAGCAGGCGUGUUCGCCGUCUGUUCCAUCACUUCAGCCACAAAACUUUCACCCUUGCUACCCCUC